ensembl:snoRNA
ACCGAGGCCUAUCCCGACAGGCUCUUGGCCAUAGGGCCUGGUCGUUGGAAAUGCCUCGAAGAUCAUACCUGCAGUUAUCGCUUUACCCAUGGGUCUAGUUUGGUUAGACCUGUGGGAUAAAACUGCAGAACACUC